CCUACGGGUGGCAGCAGUGAGGAAUAUUGGUCAAUGGACGCAAGUCUGAACCAGCCAUGCCGCGUGCAGGAAGACGGCUCUAUGAGUUGUAAACUGCUUUUGUACGAGGGUAAACGCAGAUACGCGUACCUGUCUGCAAGUACCCUACGAAUAAGGAUCGGCUAACUCCGUGCCAGCAGCCGCGGUAAUACGGAGGGUUCAAGCGUUAUCCGGAUUUAUUGGGGUUAAAGGGGGCGUAGGCGGGCGGUUAAGUUAGAGGUGAAAUCCCGGGGCUCAACUUCGGAAUUGCCUCUGAUACUGGUCGGCUAGAGGGUAGUUGCGGUAGGCGGAAUGUGUGGUGUAGCGGUGAAAUGCUUAGAGAUCAUGCAGAACACCGAUUGCGAAGGCAGCUUACCAGGCUACAUCUGACGUUGAGGCACGAAAGCGUGGGGAGCAAACAGGAUUAGAUACCCCAGUAGUC
rnacentral:rRNA from 1 species